UGACUCACCUGACCAGGGUGCUACAGAACGCGGGCAGGAUACGGGAGCUGCCAUAUGCCCAUGCCCCUCCACGAGGAUCAUCAAUUUAUGGUACUACAGACGAGGAUACCAUGACGUCAAGCGAUCAAUUCACAUUGCCCUACCUAGCAACAGGAGAAGAAUCAGCAAGAUUUGUCAGGGGAGCUGUACCACCCCCGUCUUACCACAGUGGUUUGGCCAAUCCUCGCCGCAGGUCCCUUCGUGGCGGUUCAAACCAUGCUCAAAUGCCUGUCGAAGCAUGGUUUUAAUCAAAGGAGAA